CUUCAACGACCCGAUCCGCAGCGGCUCGGCGCGCUCCUGACCGUAGGCGUUGAUCAGCGCCUGCGCCUC
rfam:Streptomyces yokosukanensis strain DSM 40224 genomic scaffold PRJNA299221_s007, whole genome shotgun sequence.